UACGAAGGGGGCUAGCGUUGCUCGGAAUUACUGGGCGUAAAGCGCGCGUAGGCGGCUUUGUAAGUCGGUUGUGAAAUCCCCGGGCUUAACCUGGGAACUGCAUCCGAGACUGCAUAGCUAGAGUAUGGGAGAGGUGAGUGGAACUGCGAGUGUAGAGGUGAAAUUCGUAGAUAUUCGCAAGAACACCAGUGGCGAAGGCGGCUCACUGGCCCGAUACUGACGCUGAGGCACGAAAGCGUGGGGAGCAAACAGG
rnacentral:rRNA from 1 species